UUCAGCCAAGCCCUCCUUCAGCCACCCUUUUUCAUGGCCCAGGGGCAAAGACCUCCCAGCAGGGGGACGAGGAGGUUGUGUGGACAAACUGCUCCUGAGAGAAGGAUGCCGCAGCUGGGCCUGUCCUGGCUGGGCCUGGGGCCGGUGGCCGCCUCCCCGUGGCUGCUGCUGCUGCUGGUCGGAGCCUCCUGGCUCCUGGCCCGCGUCCUGGCCUGGACCUACGCCUUCUAUGGCACCUGCAGCCGCCUCCGCUGUUUCCCGCAGCCCCCGACGCGGAGCUGGUUCUGGGGUCACCUGGGCCUGGUCACUCCCACAGAGCAGGGGAUGCGGGUCCUGACUCAGCUGGUGGCCACCUACCCUCAGAGCUUUAAGACCUGGAUGGGCCCCAUCUCCCCCAUCAUCACUUUGUGCCACCCUGACACUAUCCGGUCUGUCCUCAGCGCCUCAGCCACCAUUGCACCCAAGGACAUGUUCUUCUACAGCUUCCUGAAGCCCUGGCUGGGGGAUGGACUCCUGCUGAGUGCUGGUGACAAGUGGAGCCACCACCGUCGCAUGCUGACUCCUGCCUUCCAUUUCAACAUCCUGAAGCCCUACGUGAAGGUUUUCAACAAGAGCACAAACAUCAUGCACGCCAAGUGGCAGCGCCUGGCCUCGGAGGGCAGCACCUGCCUGGACAUGUUUGAGCACAUCAGCCUCAUGACCUUGGACAGUCUGCAGAAAUGCAUCUUCAGCUUCGACAGCCAUUGUCAGGAGAAGCCCAGUGAACACAUUGCUGCCAUCUUGGAGCUCACUGCCCUUCUGGCAAAAAGGCCCCAGCACAUCCUACAGCACAUAGACUUCCUGUACUAUCUCACCACCAGUGGGCACCACUUCCUCAAGUUCUGCCGCCUGGUGCACGACUUCACAGAUGCAGUCAUCCACGAGCGACGCCGAACUCUCCUCAAUCAGGAUACUGAAGACUUCCUCAAGGCCAAAGCCAAGAGCAAGACUUUGGACUUCAUUGAUGUGCUCCUGCUGAGCAAGGAUGAAGAUGGGAAGCAGUUGUCAGAUGAGGACAUAAGAGCGGAAGCUGACACCUUCAUGUUUGAGGGCCAUGACACCACGGCCAGUGGUCUCUCCUGGGUCCUGUACCACCUUGCGAGGCACCCGGAACACCAGGAGCGCUGCCGGCAGGAGGUGCGAGAGCUGCUGAGGGACCGCGAGCCUAUGGAGAUUGAAUGGGACUACCUGGCCCAACUGCCCUUCCUGACCAUGUGCAUUAAGGAGAGUCUGUGGCUGCAUCAUCCAGUCACUGUCAUCUCCCACUGCUGCACCCAGGGCAUUGUGCUCCCAGAUGGCCGGGUCAUCCCCAAAGGUGUCAUCUGCCUCAUCAGUAUUUUCGGGACCCAUCACAACCCAGCUGUGUGGCCAGACCCUGAGGUGUAUGACCCCUCCUGCUUUGACCCAGAAAACGUCAAGGAGCGGUCACCUCUGGCUUUUGUUCCCUUCUCUGCAGGGCCCAGGAACUGCAUCGGGCAGACCUUCGCCAUGACCGAGAUGAAUGACCGAGAUGAAGGUGGUCCUGGCGCUCAUGCUGCUGCGCUUCCGCAUCCUGCCUGACGACAGGGAGCCGCGCAGGAAGCCAGAAAUUAUCCUUCUAGCCGAUGGCUGUGGAGCCGCUGAGCACAGGCCAGCAGUGACUCAGCGCUGCAGGCUUAAGACCCACUCCAACCCUCCCACCUGCCUUUGCAGACGCCCAGGAAUAAAACUGCGUCACCUGUG